AUAAAAUUAUGAAUUGCCAUGCAUGCAAUAAUUAUUUGGCUUUGCUUGGCAUCAGAUAGCUUGGUAAACUCAACAAGAUCCUCCACUUCAUUUUCAAAACUCCAAAAGACCGCUCGAUGACAUUACGAAGUGAAGAAUGUGCAAAGUUGAAGACCUCCUUUUUACCUCUUGGCAUUGGCCCUUCUCGAUACUCUUGGAGGUGAUACU
rnacentral:lncRNA from 1 species